rnacentral:tRNA from 1 species
GCCGGGAUGGCGGAACUGGUAGACGCAGCGGACUCAAAAUCCGCCGGUGGUGACACCGUAAGGGUUCGAUUCCCUUUCCCGGCA